UACAGUCACAUCACGUUGAAACACCGGUUCCUGUACGAUCACCGAAGUUAAGCAAUAUCAAGUUUGGACAGUACCUAGAUGGGUGACUGCUUGGUAAGAGAAGGUAUUGUA